CUGAUUUGAAUCUUAGGUUUCACGGCCUAAUGAUUUAAUUGCUUGGAGUUAGAGUGUAUUUUUCGUUAGCAUGCUGUUCAUGCACUGAUUCACUUCCGUUAAUGCAUUUUUUUUUACUAAGCUUUAGUUUAUUUUUAUUUUUGAAGCAUGUUGUUUGGAAUUGGAGAAAGGCUGCAGCAUUUUGUUUUCUUUAUAUAGUAUUUAAUUGAAUGAAGAAAGGCUUAUUCAUUUAGUGGUGCAGAGGCGGUGACUAAUUUGUCUUUUGGAAGUGACGGUGAUUUAUUUGGGAAAUGCAACGAGCUGCUGUUAUGUUUAAGGGAAGUGGUGCAUGGUGGAAUCUCUAGAUGGACUUUUGGAAGCUUAAUUUAAUUUCCUUCUUGGUUGGUGUUGUGCGGCGCUGAAAUUGGGAGAGCAAGGAUGCGUUACUUUGCUUGGAAGCUCACGGCCAACACUUUGGCAUUGGAUUAAUUUGGUUAUUUCAGCUCAUGGUCACAUAUUUUCAGGUAGCUAGCACCAUUUAUUCUAGUUCUUGGUAUUAGAUGUGUUUUUCUUACCUUUAUGGCUUAGGAAAAAUCUCUACUUUAAUUUGGUUAAGCACACAGUUUUAUUUUUACUUUCAUUUACUUUCAGUGUUCAAUUACGUUUGGUUGCGUUUAAAUUUCAGUUUUAAUUUAAUUUAAUUUUCCUCGCAAGAACACUUUCAACCCCCCCUUGUGUUAGACCUAAUUCCUGAACCAUGGUUUGGUCCUUGAGAGACGACUUAGGAGUCAUUUCCUAGCUAUACUGCAUUUCUAAAUUGCAAUCAAAUUUGCAUGGGUCGCGUCAACCCAUCAAUUGGCUUUGAAAAACUAUGGAUGAAUGGUGUUGUUGGGGUUUACAAUUUCAUCUUAUCCACUCUCAUAUAUUUACUUUUCUUAUUUACUUCACUUAUUUAUCUAAUUGCCUUGCAAACUUUCUAGCAUACCCUUAACCCAAUCCCUUGGUGAAAAGAGCCUAUUAUUAAUUACUGGAUUGCUAUCCCUAGCCUCCCCU
rnacentral:lncRNA from 1 species